rnacentral:rRNA from 1 species
CUACGGGAGGCAGCAGUAGGGAAUCUUCGGCAAUGGACGGAAGUCUGACCGAGCAACGCCGCGUGAGUGAAGAAGGUUUUCGGAUCGUAAAGCUCUGUUGUAAGAGAAGAACGAGUGUGAGAGUGGAAAGUUCACACUGUGACGGUAUCUUACCAGAAAGGGACGGCUAACUACGUGCCAGCAGCCGCGGUAAUACGUAGGUCCCGAGCGUUGUCCGGAUUUAUUGGGCGUAAAGCGAGCGCAGGCGGUUAGAUAAGUCUGAAGUUAAAGGCUGUGGCUUAACCAUAGUACGCUUUGGAAACUGUUUAACUCGAGUGCAGAAGGGGAGAGUGGAAUUCCAGGUGUAGCGGUGAAAUGCGUAGAUAUAUGGAGGAACACCGGUGGCGAAAGCGGCUCUCUGGUCUGUAACUGACGCUGAGGCUCGAAAGCGUGGGGAGCAAACAGGAUUAGAUACCCUAGUAGUC